CCACCGACAUAAACGCGUCUUGCAUGGAUCCUAAUCUAAACAUUACAUGGUUUGAUAUCGAAAGCACCGUUGAAUCUCGUUCUCACCAUAAUGGUUGUUGUUGUUUUAGUUGUUGUUGUUUUAUGUGUA